rnacentral:rRNA from 1 species
GACGAACGCUGGCGGCAGGCCUAACACAUGCAAGUCGAGCGAGGACUUCGGUUCUAGCGGCGGACGGGUGAGUAACGCGUGGGAAUGUACCCUUCUCUACGGAAUACCCCUGGUAAACUGGGCGUAAUACCGUAUACGCCCUUUUGGGGAAAGAUUUAUCGGAGCAGGAUCAGGCCGCGUUGGAUUAGGUAGUUGGUGGGGUAAUCGCCUACCAAGGGGACGAUCCAUAGCUGGUUUGAGAGGAUGAUCAGCCACGCUGGGGCUGAGACACGGCCCAGACUCGUACGGGAGGGAGCAGUGGGGAAUCUUAGAGAAUGGAGGCAACCCUGAUAGAGCCAUGCCGGGUAAGAGAUGAAGGCCUUAGGGUUGUAAAGCCCUUUCAGAUGGGGAGAGAAUGACGGUACCAGGAGAAGAAGCCCCGGCUAACUACGUG